AGCAGGAUCAGGGCUGAAGUGUGAGGCAGUGGCUUGGCCUAAGCUCAGGAGCUGAAAAAUGAGAAGCAAGUGUGUCUGGGGAGGAGGGGGAGCAACCAGCACUGCCCUUGCUGUGGUGUCAGAGCAGGUGGCUCCCACCUUACUGAUGAUUUUUCGGUGCUUUCCAGGGCUACAGCAAUUUCCAUCCCCUACUCUCUGGGUCCAUGGGAGAAAACUGUAAUCUGCAUUGCCUCUCACCCUGCCCACUCCCCCGGAUGCUUGCCAGGGGUGGGCUUGGGGCAGCCUUUCCCAUCAACUGAUGUGCAGUGCCCAACGCAAACAGGCUCCGUUCCCCACCUUGUUAAGCAAAAUAGCUGCAAAAAUAUCAAGCAGUGAGCAAGUAUGAAUUCAAAGCUGAGUUUUGGCUGUAAGCAUGCAAAUAAUUCUCAUUGGCAGACUCCUACUGCUGCUGUUGCUUACAUGAAUCAGCUUUGCAAGUUUGGAGACUAAUUUUGGAAAGUGCAGCUUGGAAGUGAUAAGUCCAGGUUAUAAAGACACUCCAACUGCGUGUGCGAAAAUGAAAAGUAGAUGCAGCUUGCUGGAAGAGAAUGAAUCUCUGUCCGUCCCAGACAUUGUAACAGCUCCUGGUCUGAAAGCACGUGGGAUGAGGUCAGAACUUUGCACUCAUCAGUCCGUGGAUCAGUCUGUGCCAUUGCCUCAGUGCUGCUGCUUUGUCUUGAACAGGGGGAGACAGAGAGGAACAUUUUGUCCUGGGAAUCUGGGUGCAGUUGUAGGGAGAUAACUCAGGAUGCAAACACUUGCCAUGUUAUUGCACUUCCACAGGCUUUUGAAAAACGUGUGGGCUUCGAAGCGAUCAGCCCCACACCCAGCUCUGAGGGAGCAACAAGAACACGGCGUGCUCCUUGAACCCGAGGGGUGGCCUCUUAAAAGACAUUGCAGCUUUAAUUUUUCUUUUUAAAUGAAUUCACGUGGAGUGCACAGAUCAAAAUGGUUAUCCUGCAAGCUCAAAGCUGUGCAUGUUACCCUGGGAAGUGUUGGCCAUGGUGGACACAUGCUGGAGGGAUCCCUGUCCAUGGAGACGUGUGGUGCUGCUGUCAUUGCAAAGGCCCCAGUUUCAUGGUUUUGGAAUUUCCUCCCAAACCUUUCCAAACUUCACUCUGUGUGUUGACCCCUCUGCCUCCCUUCGCAAGCGCUGUGAAGACGCGGCUGCUCAGAUAA
rnacentral:lncRNA from 1 species